ensembl:snoRNA
AUCCUUUUGUAGUUCAUAUACAUGAUGAUUGGGUUUCAGCAUGCACUUGUGAGAUGUGCCUCCCUCCAAUCUUGUUACCACAUCUGCACAUUACCCAUCUGUGU